ACACACUAACACCUAUUCACAGUGUAACAGAAUGAACUAAUUAGUGUAAUAUUAAACAACCUAAAAUCGAUUACUAUUGAGUUAAUUUUACAAUUUAAACAUAGAAUCCUAUUUACAUGCUCCUAACUAAUGACUUGUAUUGCUACAAGCUCGCACACAAACAAACACACAAAGAAAAAAUUAACGAAAACAAAAAAAACAAUUUUGAAAAAUAUCUAUGUUACCCCCCAC
rnacentral:lncRNA from 1 species